rnacentral:rRNA from 1 species
AUUGAACGCUGGCGGCAUGCCUUACACAUGCAAGUCGAACGGCAGCACGGGAGCAAUCCUGGUGGCGAGUGGCGAACGGGUGAGUAAUACAUCGGAACGUGCCCAGUCGUGGGGGAUAACUACUCGAAAGAGUGGCUAAUACCGCAUACGCCCUGAGGGUGAAAGCGGGGGACCGCAAGGCCCAGCGCGAUUGGAGGGGCCGAUGUCAGAUUAGCUAGUUGGGGGGGUAAAGGCCUACCAAGGCGGCGAGCGUUAGAUGGUCUGAUAGGACGACCAGCCACACUGGGACUGAGACACGGCCCAGACUCCUACGGGAGGCAGCAGUGGGGAAUUUUGGACAAUGGGGGCAACCCUGAUCCAGCCAUGCCGCGUGCGGGAAGAAGGCCUUCGGGUUGUAAACCGCUUUUGUCAGGGAAGAAACGCGCUGAGCUAAUACCUCGGUGUAAUGACGGUACCUGAAGAAUAAGCACCGGCUAACUACGUGCCAGCCGCCGCCGUAAUAC